rnacentral:ncRNA from 2 species
AACUUAUCCAGAGAGGUGGAGGGACUGGCCCGAUGAAGCCCGGCAGCGGAUCUUGCAGGAUAUUCUGCAGAUGCUGUGCCAAUUCCAGCAGGAGCGAUCCUGACAGAUAAGAA